rnacentral:lncRNA from 1 species
ACGGUUGUGGAGGCCCGGCGGGCGUGAUGGCGUCCGCCCGGCGUGGCCGCCGUUGCGCUUUGUGCCUUUCCGGCCUGGUCGUGUUGUGUGUGGGCGUUAAAGGCGCCCGAAGCGAUUUGGCAGUGAGUGUCGAUGUGCUGUUCUGGUAAGUGGUGGGCACAGUGGCAGCCAGCACGGCCGCGGGGCCAACAGAUCACCCGUGUGGGCCCAGGCACGGCCUGCUGCGUGUCCCUCCCUCGUCCUCCAUCCCUUCCGUGCCACCAUCCAUUCCUUCCCUUGUGCUCUUCUCCAUCCCUCCUCCCCAUGUCUCCCGACGGGCCCUGGCUUGUCCCGUGGCACCGUGGUCCCAGUGGUGUGAGCGAGGUCCCUUUGGUUGCCCCUCAUGUCCCCAAGCUGGGCCGUGCCCCCUGUGUCCCUUCCUGCCGUAGGAACGCCCGCAGCAGCUGGCUGCUGUCCCCAGGCUGUGGUAUUUUGCAGACAACAGCUUUUCCCUCCUCGAAUUGUUUUACAGCCCCUUAUGAUCUCUUUUCUCCAUGCUAACAGUUGUCACGAGCUCAGUCGUCUAAGAAUUUGAGACUGGAGUUCACCUAAGGGGACUGGAGUGAACCUAAUGAGGUUGAAUGAGGCCCAGUGCAGGGUGCUGCGCUUGGGCCGGGGCGGUCCCAGGUACUUGGAUAAACUGGGCGAAGAAGCCCUUGAGAGCAGCCGUGUGGAGAAGGACUUGGGGGUCCUGGUGGACGAGAAGCUGGACGUGAGCCAGCACAGUGUGCGCUUGCCGCCCAGAAGGCCAACUGUGUUCUGGGCUGCAUUACAAAAAGGGUGUCCAGCAGGGAGAGGGAGGGGAUUGUCCCGCUCUGCUCGGCUCUUGUGAGGCCCUAUGUGAAGCACCGCGUCCAGGCCUGGAGCCCCCAGCACAGGAAGGACGUGGCGCUCUUGGAGCAGGUCCAGAGGAGGGCCACUAAGAUGGCCAGAGGGCUGGAGCACCUCUCCUGUGAGGAAAGGUUGAGGGAACUGGGCUUGUUCAGCUUGGAGAAGAGAGGGCUCCGGGGAGACCUAAACCAACGCCUAACCCAAACCCUAACCCUAGCCCAACAUCUAAACCAACACCUAAUCCUAAACCUAAGGCAAUCCCUAAUCCUAAACCUAAGCCAACAGCUAACCCUAACCCAUCCCCUAACCCAAUCCAUAGCCCUAAGCUUAAGCCUAACCCUAAGCCAAACCCUAGCCCUAACCAUAGCCCUAACUCCAGCACUAACCGUAAUGGUAAACUUAAUGAUAAUCCUAACCCUAACACAAACCCUUCUUUCCGGAGCUGGGGAAACCGACUCCAGAAAUGCCAUCUGAGGGAACAGACAUCCUGGCAGAUAGAACAAACCAGGUGUGAGCACUGUCUUUCCAAAGUUACACUGAAGCCGUUGGAGGACAGGUCGGACCUCAGGCCUUCCCACGGCACCAACUACUGACGGCGGAUUUGCGCACAGAUCCUUCACAGCUGUUUCAAAGAACCAUUCUGUGAUUCUAUGAUCUUCCAGGACCCUUCCAACCCACACCAUCCUGUGGUUCUAUCAUCUUCCAGGACUCUUGCAACACAAACCAUUCUAUGGUUCUGUGAUCACUAAGGAACCUCCCAAGCCACGCCGUCCUGCAGUUCUAUGAUCUUCCAGGACCCUUCCAACACGGACCAUCCUAUGGUUCUAUGAUCUUCCAGGACCCUCCUGUGCGGGUGAUGUCACCAUGACGUGAUGACCUCACAGAUGCCCUGGGGUGGGGCAGGGGCAGUGGGUCAGCGCGGAACCUGCUGGCCCCAUUCUGCGGGUGGUGCUGGUCCAGCGAGGAGCUGUGCGAGUGGUGCAGUAAUGCGGGCCCAGUGUGUCAGCAGAAGAUUAAGGGCGGUGUGGCGUGCGAAGCUGGUGGAGGAGGAGCUGCUGGCUCAUGCGGCCGUGGAGAAGUGCAAGGCCGUGGCCAGGGAAUCCUUGAUGAAGGAUGCCCAGAAAUUACGGGCAGAAAGAACAGCUGCCAGGAAAGAGAAGCUGAAGCAGGAGAAGCAUCUCGUUGCCCAGCUGGAAGAGCAGCUGCAGGCUGAGACAGAGGAGAUGGAGGUGCUGCGCCAGGAAAAACAGCACCUGCAAGAGGAGCGGGAGGAGCUGGAGCUGGAGGGUGCCUGGCAGCAGCAUCAGCUGGAGCUGGAGGCAGCCCACGUGCCUGGGGCUGUGCUGCCGAAGCUGGUGGAGGCAGAGCUGGAGAAGAAGGAGCAGGCGAGGAGACGAGGGCUCGCCUUCUGGAUGAAGACAAUCUGCCUCAUCUUCGUCAGCCUCCUGCUGCUGCUCGUUGCUGUGCUGGGCUCUGCAGUGCUGUACGCCCAGCACUAUGACCAGGAGCUGUUGUAUCGGCUCCUGCUGCGAGUGCUGCCCCAGGCAAUGUACGCUUCCCCGGCGUACUUUGCGAGCAGGAGCCUGCGUGUCGUCUGUGAUGGGCUGCUGCCCAUCUGACCGCCCCUCUCAGUCCCCCCUCCCAGCUCGGGGCUGCGCAGUGGUGGGGUGCAGGGAGAGAGCUCUGUCCCCACGGAAGGGGCCUCUCCUGUGCUCCUGCCCCCAGGGGCGCACAGGCACAGCUGUGGGGCAGUGCCGGCAGGCGGCUGAGUGCUGGGACUUUGGACUUACAAAUAAGUUGGUACUGUCGUCGUCAACUGAACACCACCACCUCCGACGACCCAUCAGACUGAAGAUGUGCACCUGACGCCAGGACGUGGCUUCUUGGAUUCUUUGAGUCUUCGUAGCAGCCAUUUCCUUCAGCUGGUUACCUGUAAGGCUUAUGAAUUGUAAUUAGCCCAUUAGGCAAUGUUACCUCCAGUGGGCUGUUGUCAGUUGUUAAGAAUGCUGUCAAUAAAUGGAUGUGUA